ACCCCCUUAGUAUAAUCAAUAUAACUGACUUCCAAUCAGUAGAUUCUAAUAAACUUUAGAAGAGGGUA
rnacentral:tRNA from 1 species